rnacentral:tRNA from 2 species
UGAUAAUUAGUUUAACUUAAAACAAAUGAUUUCGACUCAUUAAAUCAUGAUCCAAUACAUGAUUAUCAU